rnacentral:rRNA from 1 species
UGGGGAAUAUUGGACAAUGGGCGAAAGCCUGAUCCAGCCAUGCCGCGUGUGUGAAGAAGGUCUUCGGAUUGUAAAGCACUUUAAGUUGGGAGGAAGGGCAGUAAGCGAAUACCUUGCUGUUUUGACGUUACCGACAGAAUAAGCACCGGCUAACUCUGUGCCAGCAGCCGCGGUAAUACAGAGGGUGCGAGCGUUAAUCGGAUUUACUGGGCGUAAAGCGUGCGUAGGCGGCUGAUUAAGUCGGAUGUGAAAUCCCUGAGCUUAACUUAGGAAUUGCAUUCGAUACUGGUCAGCUAGAGUAUGGGAGAGGAUGGUAGAAUUCCAGGUGUAGCGGUGAAAUGCGUAGAGAUCUGGAGGAAUACCGAUGGCGAAGGCAGCCAUCUGGCCUAAUACUGACGCUGAGGUACGAAAGCAUGGGGAGCAAACAGG